UUUUUUUUUUUUUUUUUUUUUUGCUUCUCUCAAACUCCCCAAAACAACCAAAACUUUGUCUCUGAAGUGAUUUCAAGCCCAGUGAAUGGGAGAGAAAUUAUUAUUGGGCUUUUCCAAUUAUGGUUGGCAUAGUCAGCUAGCUGAGUCAUUAACAAAGCAACCCAACAUGGGUGAUGCCUUGAAGGAGCUGAAUCCCUGAAGUUUGCUAUACUGCUUGCAGGCAGUGCUACCAGGGAGUCAUCUCUCCCUCAUGAACUGGUUCUUGCUUAUACAACCCCAUUGGGAACACUGUGAGUCCCAUAACCUCCUUCUGAGUUAGUUUCAGAUUGGAGGUAAUAUACAGCUGUAGGUCAAGCCAGGGAUAGCAUAGUAGGAAUCUACUGUUUCCUGACUGGAGAAAUGAAUGAUGCCUGACAGAGAGUGAGACUGAGGGAGGCUGUCCAUCAAGAGAUAGACUAGUGAGAUGUGUGCACUUGGCAUUCUUUGGACAAUGCCUUUCAUGCCAUAUAUACUUUAUGUUUCAUUUUUAAAAAUCCUCAAAAGAGAAACAAAAUGUUUAAAUGUAUUGGUACAAUGCUAUUCUUACAAUAAAAUACCCUAGGAAAAGCAAAUGGGAAAGAAAGGGUCAUUUUAGCUCAUAGUUCCGUAGUAUGGUUCAUGGUGGUAAAAUGUUGCAGUGUCAAGAGCCUGCAACAAGAGUGCACACCUAUCGACAGUCAAGAGCAGGAGUCUCAGAGCAUUUUUGCUAGUGCACAGUUCACUUUCUCCAUUCUUUUACAACCAGGGUCCCUGCUUAGGAAAUGGAGCAACUUAACCGUGCUAAGUCUCUUCAUCUUAAUUAAUAUAACUAUGACAGUAUCCCACAGCUAUUGUGAAAGGCUAACCUGAUUCAGAUGAUGCCUCCUUGAGACUUUCCUACCAGAUGAUUGAAGAUUGUGCUAAAUUGAGAAUUGUUUUAAAGUUCCAUGGGUGUGCUCCACAAUACCUAGUCUUUGAGAAUAAUAAGGAAUCCCAGUAAUAUGACAAGUAUUAAAUUGUUAACAAAACAUCACAAAUGCCUGACUGUAAUGGCCAGUAACUUUAUGUCUUCCUGUCAUUUUGAACAUCAAGAAUAGAAAAACAAUGUAGGCAAUGACUAGUUCCUUAUUUAGUUGCUUAUCCUGUUAAAGCAGUUGCAAAUAGAAAGCAUGAGAAGAUAUCAAUAGUCAUAUGUACAUUGUUUAACAUUUUUUAAAAUUCAGAUACAUAAGUAACAUCUAUUUGCCAUACUUGAUUAGGUAUGUGUUCUCAAGGAUUAACACCAUUAUGUAGUACAGGAAGAAAUUGAGGACACUGAAGACAAGUUUUUAUAAAUUGACAUGCACAUUUUCUAGAAAUACCAAAUUGUUGUCUCAACCUAUUAGUAUUUUAAUGAUGUAUAGAAUGAGAGUGUUUCUUUUAGUGCAUUUGACUAUGCCAGGGCCUAGCAAACACAAAAGUGGAUGCUCACAGUCAGCUAUUGGAUGGAUCACAGGGCCCCCAAUGGAGCAGCUAGAGAAAGCACCCAAGGAGCUAAAGGGAACUGCAACCCUAUAGGUGGGACAACAAUAUGAAUGAACCAGUACCCCGGAGCUCUUGUCUCUAGAUGCAUAUGUAUCAAAAGAUGGCCUAGUCGGCCAUCACUGGAAAGAGAGCCAUUGGUCAUGCAAAUUUUAUAUGCCCCAGUACAGGGGAACGCCAUGGCCAAAAAGUGGGAGUGGGUCGGUAGUGGAGUAGGGGGAGGGAAUGGGGGACUUUUGGGAUAGCAUUGGAAAUGUAAAUGAGGAAAAUACCUAAUUAAAAAUAUUUAAAAAAAAGAGCACUGACUGGUCUUCCGAAGGUCCUGAGUUCAAAUCCCAGCAUCCACAUGGUGGCUCACAACCAUCUGUACUGAGAUCUGAUGCCCUCUUCUGGAGUGUCUGAAGACAGCUACAGUGUACUUACAUACAAUAAACAAACAAAUAAAUAAAAAAUAGAAUUUUAAAAAUGAAAAACAAACAAACAAACAAAAAGAAUGAGAGUGUGUGGCGGAACUAUUCCUGUGUAAUGCCUAUACUCUGCCUGAUAUGCAAACCUGCUGUGGCAUUGCCCUCAUUAAGGGGUCUGGGUUCCUGUUCCCCCUAGGCCAUUGUAAACACUUGUAUAUGGGUGUAACUCAGCUAUCUAUAGUUCUAAGUAUCUACUCUGGUUCCUCCUUAGGUCACUAACUUCCCUCUUCCUAGAUAAUGGUAAAUUCCUACAUAGGGCAGUGACUUAGCUAUCCAUGCCCAGGGUCGGAUCAAUGACUGCCUAGAAUCUAACUUAGCUCUAUG
rnacentral:lncRNA from 1 species